GUGAAAUUGAACUCGCUGUGAAGAUGCAGUGUACCCGCGGCAAGACGGAAAGACCCCGUGAACCUUUACUAUAGCUUGACACUGAACAUUGAGCCUUGAUGUGUAGGAUAGGUGGGAGGCUUUGAAGUGUGGACGCCAGUCUGCAUGGAGCCGACCUUGAAAUACCACCCUUUAAUGUUUGAUGUUCUAACGUGGACCCGUUACCCGGGUUGCGGACAGUGUCUGGUGGGUAGUUUGACUGGGGCGGUCUCCUCCUAAAGAGUAACGGAGGAGCACGAAGGUUGGCUAAUCCUGGUCGGACAUCAGGAGGUUAGUGCAAUGGCAUAAGCCAGCUUGACUGCGAGCGUGACGGCGCGAGCAGGUGCGAAAGCAGGUCAUAGUGAUCCGGUGGUUCUGAAUGGAAGGGCCAUCGCUCAACGGAUAAAAGGUACUCCGGGGAUAACAGGCUGAUACCGCCCAAGAGUUCAUAUCGACGGCGGUGUUUGGCACCUCGAUGUCGGCUCAUCACAUCCUGGGGCUGAAGUAGGUCCCAAGGGUAUGGCUGUUCGCCAUUUAAAGUGGUACGCGAGCUGGGUUUAGAACGUCGUGAGACAGUUCGGUCCCUAUCUGCCGUGGGCGCUGGAGAACUGAGGGGGGCUGCUCCUAGUACGAGAGGACCGGAGUGGACGCAUCACUGGUGUUCGGGUUGUCAUGCCAAUGGCACUGCCCGGUAGCUAAAUGCGGAAGAGAUAAGUGCUGAAAGCAUCUAAGCACGAAACUUGCCCCGAGAUGAGUUCUCCCUGAGACUUUAGGUCUCCUGAAGGAACGUUGAAGACGACGACGUUGAUAGGCCGGGUGUGUAAGCGCAGCGAUGCGUUGAGCUAACCGGUACUAAUGAACCGUGAGGCUUAACCUUACAACGCCGAAG
rnacentral:rRNA from 1 species